rnacentral:rRNA from 1 species
CAGCAGCCGCGGUAAUACAGAGGGUGCAAGCGUUAAUCGGAAUUACUGGGCGUAAAGCGCGCGUAGGUGGUUUGUUAAGUUGGAUGUGAAAUCCCCGGGCUCAACCUGGGAACUGCAUCCAAAACUGGCAAGCUAGAGUAUGGUAGAGGGUGGUGGAAUUUCUUGUGUAGCGGUGAAAUGCGUAGAUAUAGGAAGGAACACCAGUGGCGAAGGCGACCACCUGGACUGAUACUGACACUGAUGUGCGAAAGCGUGGGGAGCAAACAGGAUUAGAUACCCCCGUAGUCCCUGUCUCUUAUAA